rnacentral:rRNA from 1 species
AGUGAACGCUGGCGGUAGGCCUAACACAUGCAAGUCGAACGGCAGCACAGUAAGAGCUUGCUCUUACGGGUGGCGAGUGGCGGACGGGUGAGGAAUACAUCGUAAUCUACUUUUUCGGGGGGGAUAACGUAGGGAAACUUACGCUAAUACCGCAUACGACCUACGGGUGAAAGCAGGGGAUCUUCGGACCUUGCGCGAUUGAAUGAGCCGAUGUCGGAUUAGCUAGUUGGCGGGCUAAAGGCCCACUAAGGCGACGAUCCGUAGCUGGUGUGAGAGGAUGGUCGGCCACACUGGAACUGGACCACGGUCCAGACUCCUACGGGAGGCAGCAGUGGGGAAUAUGGGGCAAUGGGCGCAAGCAUGAUACAGCCAUACCGCGUGGGUGAAGAAGGCCCUCGGGGUGGAAAGACCUUUUGUUGGGAAAGAAAAGCAGCAGGUUAAUACCCCGCUGUUCUGACGGUACCCAAAGAAUAAGCACCGGCUAACUUCGUG